AUUUUUAUUGCAUGCCUGUGUGCAGGGGCUGAAAUGGGGAGCCAAAGUUCACCUAGUGUCUACCCUCCAGGAGCUCACAGAAUGAUCUGGGGAUGGCCAGGGGGUCUGUGAGAUGUGUUGCAGUGAGCCCGCGUGUGUGGCAGUGUAAAUCGGCACAGUGGACAGGGAGCCCUCUGGAUGCCAGCACAGCAGGAUUCUGAUGAGGUCACUCCCACAGGUCAUGCUCAACCAGGGGCCUUUUCUUCCUGGAAACCUACUGGAAGGAAAAACUAUGUCCACACUAGAAGGGAAAUUUUGGCACCCAAAUCUGUGACUAGCUUAUGAACCUUCAGUUUUCAGAACUGAUUUUUGCAUUUCUCAAAGUGUAACUCUGCCACCUGCACCAGCAUGGUCCCAAGCUUGAGUUAAAAAAAAAAAAAAGACUGAGGACACUGCCCCAGAAGAGACUGAAUGGGAAGCAUCCCAGGUUGUUUCUUAUCCUCAAGAAAGUUUUAAAACUAUUGGUUCAAUUCAUCUUCAUAGAUGUGGAAAUUUUCUUCUACAUUUCUGUUUCAGAAGAUUCCUACCAGAUUAGGAAGA